GAUUAAAACAAAAAAAAAUUAUAGAAGUGUCAAUCUUUGUAAAACCGGAAUCACCCCAGCGGCCUGCCCGUUCAUCAGCGGAGGCCAACGUCAGUAUCCCUGCGCAUAGCAGGUUAGCCGAAACGUGGAGAUCGUUGACCAGUAUACGCGGAAAAACGAGACGGUAUGGUAAGCGAUUUCCAUUAAAUUAAAUCAUUUAAGUAAAGUAGUAACUAUCUGAGAUACGCAUAUGCGAGUGUCAAUUAUUUUAUUUUCUACUUAUCUGUACAGUGUAUGGUAUAUAAAUUAUAUAGGUCAAAAUAUCUGCGCAUGACGUUUUAGGUCGAUAAAAUGCAACGAGUUCCAUUUUGUUAAAUUGGACAACCGUGAACGAUCCCUUGUCUUUGUUGCAACUACGG